AUUAAAUGGUGCAAAAACAAUACCAAAGUAAACAAAAAAUCUGAAGGAAUAUCGUUUCACACGUUUCCAACGAAUAUUUUAAUAAGAGGUGAAUGGGUAGCGGCUGUAAGACUGAGAAAAUGACCACGAUUAUGCUGGCCAUGCGCAUAAAGUCAAUUUAAUACGAUUAGUGAUUGAAAAAUAUUUGAACAUAAGACUACAUCAUAUUAGUAACAUGCAAACAAUGACGAUGACUCUGAGUUCUAAGCGACAAAAAUUUAAAAAACUUAUACA
rnacentral:misc_RNA from 1 species